rnacentral:rRNA from 1 species
CCCUAUAAAUGGCAGUCGAGCGACAGACAAGGAGCUUGCUCCUUUGACGUUAGCGGCGGACGGGUGAGUAACACGUGGGUAACCUACCUAUAAGACUGGGAUAACUUCGGGAAACCGGAGCUAAUACCGGAUAAUAUUUCGAACCGCAUGGUUCGAUAGUGAAAGAUGGUUUUGCUAUCACUUAUAGAUGGACCCGCGCCGUAUUAGCUAGUUGGUAAGGUAACGGCUUACCAAGGCGACGAUACGUAGCCGACCUGAGAGGGUGAUCGGCCACACUGGAACUGAGACACGGUCCAGACUCCUACGGGAGGCAGCAGUAGGGAAUCUUCCGCAAUGGGCGAAAGCCUGACGGAGCAACGCCGCGUGAGUGAUGAAGGUCUUCGGAUCGUAAAACUCUGUUAUUAGGGAAGAACAUACGUGUAAGUAACUAUGCACGUCUUGACGGUACCUAAUCAGAAAGCCACGGCUAACUACGUGCCAGCAGCCGCGGUAAUACGUAGGUGGCAAGCGUUAUCCGGAAUUAUUGGGCGUAAAGCGCGCGUAGGCGGUUUUUUAAGUCUGAUGUGAAAGCCCACGGCUCAACCGUGGAGGGUCAUUGGAAACUGGAAAACUUGAGUGCAGAAGAGGAAAGUGGAAUUCCAUGUGUAGCGGUGAAAUGCGCAGAGAUAUGGAGGAACACCAGUGGCGAAGGCGACUUUCUGGUCUGUAACUGACGCUGAUGUGCGAAAGCGUGGGGAUCAAACAGGAUUAGAUACCUUGGUAGUCCAAAAA